GACGAACGCUGGCGGCGUGCCUAAUACAUGCAAGUUGAGCGCUGAAGGUUGGUACUUGUACCAACUGGAUGAGCAGCGAACGGGUGAGUAACGCGUGGGGAAUCUGCCUUUGAGCGGGGGACAACAUUUGGAAACGAAUGCUAAUACCGCAUAAAAACUUUAAACACAAGUUUUAAGUUUGAAAGAUGCAAUUGCAUCACUCAAAGAUGAUCCCGCGUUGUAUUAGCUAGUUGGUGAGGUAAAGGCUCACCAAGGCGAUGAUACAUAGCCGACCUGAGAGGGUGAUCGGCCACAAUGGGACUGAGAAACGGCCCAAACUCCUACGGGAGGCAGCAGUAGGGAAUCUUCGGCAAUGGACGAAAGUCUGACCGAGCAACGCCGCGUGAGUGAAGAAGGGUUUCGGAUCGUAAAACUCUGUUGGUAGAGAAGAACGUUGGUGAGAGUGGAAAGCUCAUCAAGUGACGGUAACUAAACAGAAAGGGACGGCUAACUACGUG
rnacentral:rRNA from 1 species